GCUGGGCGGCGUGCCUAAUACAUGCAAGUCGAACGGGGAAAGUAGCAAUACGAGUACUAGUGGCGCACGGGUGAGUAAUACGUGGAUAAUCUGCCUUCAGGUGGGGGAUAACUAGUCGAAAGAUUAGCUAAUACCGCAUAAGACCACAAGAUCCGAGGAUCAAGGGGUUAAAGGUUUUUCGCCUGAAGAUGAGUCCGCGCGAGAUUAGCUAGUUGGUGAGGUAAUGGCUCACCAAGGCAACGAUCUCUAACAGGUCUGAGAGGAUGAUCUGUCACACUGGAACUGGGACACGGUCCAGACUCCUACGGGAGGCAGCAGUAGGGAAUAUUGCACAAUGGAGGAAACUCUGAUGCAGCGACGCCGCGUGAGUGAUGAAGGNCUUCGGGUCGUAAAGCUCUGUCGCAGGGGAAUAAGCAAGUGAAUGUACCCUGAAAGAGAGGAUCGGCUAACUUCGUGCCAGCAGCCGCGGUAAGACGAGGGAUCCAAGCGUUGUUCGGAAUUAUUGGGCGUAAAGCGGGUGUAGGUGGCUUUGUAAGUCAGGUGUGAAAGCCCAGGGCUCAACCCUGGAAGUGCAUUUGAUACUGCGAAGCUUGAGUGUAGGAGAGG
rnacentral:rRNA from 1 species